GAUGAACGCUAGCGGCAGGCCUAAUACAUGCAAGUCAAGGGGCCAGUAAUGGCACCGGCGGACGGGUGCGUAACGCGUACACAACGUACCUUUGGGUGGGGGAUAGCAUCGGGAAACUGGUGGUAAUACCCCAUGGUAUUGGAGACUGGCAUCAGUUUUCAAUUAAAGACUACGCCCAAAGAUCGGUGUGCGUCUGAUUAGCUAGUUGGUAGGGUAACGGCCUACCAAGGCGACGACGGGUAGCCGGCCUGAGAGGGCGACCGGCCACACUGGGACUGAGACACGGCCCAGACUCCUACGGGAGGCAGCAGUGGGGAAUAUUGGACAAUGGGCGAAAGCCUGAUCCAGCAAUGCCGCGUGAGUGAUGAAGGCCUUCGGGUCGUAAAGACUCUUUACCAGGGAUGAUAAUGACAGUACCUGGAGAAUAAGCUCCGGCUAACUCCGUG
rnacentral:rRNA from 1 species